UACGUAGGGUGCAAGCGUUGUCCGGAAUUAUUGGGCGUAAAGAGCUCGUAGGCGGUCUGUCGCGUCGGAUGUGAAAACCCGGGGCUCAACUCCGGGCCUGCAGUCGAUACGGGCUGGCUUGAGUGCGGUAGGGGAGACUGGAAUUCCUGGUGUAGCGGUGAAAUGCGCAGAUAUCAGGAGGAACACCGGUGGCGAAGGCGGGUCUCUGGGCCGUAACUGACGCUGAGGAGCGAAAGCGUGGGGAGCGAACAGG
rnacentral:rRNA from 1 species